rnacentral:tRNA from 1 species
CGCGUCGCGUGCGUUUGCGGCAAGUCUCGAACCCCGCACCUUGAUCCGCGGCCAUCGCCAGCGUCUGCUGCUUCAUCGUCGUUUGCCUUUCUCCUUGCACGUGCGCUCUAUAACACCUGACAAGCACAAGCGGUGGACUUAAUCAGCGUUGCCUUAGUCGCCUGGUUGGGGAGUUACUCGCGGCAUGAGUGCCGUCGGCGCUUAAUAGGAUUAUUCAGGGCCGACUAAGUAGCCGAGUCGCGAAGGCAAGCAAAAGGCGCGGCGGAAUUGAUCCCUGCCGCGCCUUUUGCGGUAUAAGAUGUAGAUGUUCGGUAUCAGCCCUUGGACGGCUCAAUUAACGUGGCCAGCUUGCGAAUUCGCGGUGCCAUGACAAGGAGAAGCACGACGCCCAUCCCGGAAUGGAUGUGGUGGGCCUUAUCCAUGGGCUCGGCGUAAUCUUGUCCACGUCCCCAUGUGGCAAAAACGAAUUGUUUUCAUUCGAGGGGCCGCAGUUCUCGUUCGACUGAAAGGAUUAAAGGCGAUGAAUUCAGACGAUCAGUAGGGAGUGUUCCGGGCGGAGAGCCUUAUCUGGCAAGCGUUUCGGGGAUUGAAUCAGAUACAACCAGACGGUUGAUAAUGGGCGGGGUGGCGGAGGCGGUGAGAUUCGAACUCACGGAAGGAUCACUCCUUCGCCGGUUUUCAAGACCGGUGCCUUAAACCGCUCGGCCACACCUCC